rnacentral:rRNA from 1 species
GUGGCCAGCCGCCGCGGUAAUACCGGCAGCUCGAGUGAUGUCCAAUAUUAUUGGGCCUAAAGCGUCCGUAGCUGGCCGCGCAAGUCCGUCGGGAAAUCCACCUGCCCAACAGGUGGGCGUCCGGCGGAAACUGUGUGGCUUGGAACCGGAAGGCUCAGAGGGUACGUCCGGGGUAGGAGUGAAAUCCUGUAAUCCUGGACGGACCGCCGAUGGCGAAAGCACGUCGGGAAGACGGAUCCGACGGUGAGGGACGAAAGCCAGGGUCUCCAACCGGAUUAGAAACCCGGGUAGUCC